rnacentral:rRNA from 1 species
GAUGAACGCUGGCGGCGUGCCUAAUACAUGCAAGUCGAGCGAACAGACGAGGAGCUUGCUCCUCUGACGUUAGCGGCGGACGGGUGAGUAACACGUGGAUAACCUACCUAUAAGACUGGGAUAACUUCGGGAAACCGGAGCUAAUACCGGAUAAUAUAUUGAACCGCAUGGUUCAAUAGUGAAAGACGGUUUUGCUGUCACUUAUAGAUGGAUCCGCGCCGCAUUAGCUAGUUGGUAAGGUAAUGGCUUACCGAGGCAACGAUGCGUAGCCGACCUGAGAGGGUGAUCGGCCACACUGGAACUGAGACACGGUCCAGACUCCUACGGGAGGCAGCAGUAGGGAAUCUUCCGCAAUGGGCGAAAGCCUGACGGAGCAACGCCGCGUGAGUGAUGAAGGUCUUCGGAUCGUAAAACUCUGUUAUUAGGGAAGAACAAAUGUGUAAGUAACUAUGCACGUCUUGACGGUACCUAAUCAGAAAGCCACGGCUAACUACGUG